rnacentral:rRNA from 1 species
AUACAUGCAAGUCGAACGGUAAAUAUUUUAGCAAUAAGAUAUGAGAGUGACGUACGGGUGCGUAACACGUAUGCAACCUACCUUGUACAGGAGUAUAGCUCGGGGAAACUCGAAUUAACCCUUCAUAAGAUCAUAGAAUGGCAUCAUUUAGUGAUUAAAUCUUCGGAGGUACAAGAUGGGCAUGCGUCUGAUUAGUUAGUUGGCGGGGUAACGGCCCACCAAGACGAUGAUCAGUAGGGGAACUGAGAGGUUGAUCCCCCACACUGGCACUGAGAUACGGGCCAGACUCCUACGGGAGGCAGCAGUAGGGAAUAUUGGUCAAUGGAUGGAAGUCUGAACCAGCCAUGCCGCGUGCAGGAAGAAGGCCUUCUGGGUUGUAAACUGCUUUUGCCGGGGGAUAAAAUGACCGUGCGCGGUUAAUUGAAGGUACCCGGUGAAUAAGCCACGGCUAACUACGUGCCAGCAGCCGCGGUAAUACGUAGGUGGCAAGCGUUGUCCGGAUUUAUUGGGUUUAAAGGGUGCGUAGGCGGUCUAUUAAGUCAGCGGUGAAAUACUCCAGCUUAACUGGAGGGGUGCCAUUGAUACUGAUGGACUUGAGUCAAGUCGAGGUAGGCGGAAUUGACGGUGUAGCGGUGAAAUGCUUAGAUAUCGUCAAGAACACCAAUAGUGAAGACAGCUUACUGGGCUUAAACUGACGCUGAGGCACGAAAGUGUGGGGAUCAAACAGGAUUAGAUACCCUGGUAGUCCACACUGUAAACGUUGAUUACUCGCUGUUGGCGAUACACAGCCAGCGGCCAAG